AGAAUCAACGCUGGCGGCGUGCCUAACACAUGCAAGUCGAACGAGAAAGUGGAGCAAUCCAUGAGUAAAGUGGCGCACGGGUGAGUAACGCGUGACUAACCUACCCUUGAGUGGGGGAUAACCUAGAGAAAUCUGGGCUAAUACCGCAUAAUACCUUCGGGUCAAAGGAGCAAUUCGCUUAAGGAGGGGGUCGCGGCCGAUUAGUUAGUUGGCGGGGUAAUGGCCCACCAAGACUAUGAUCGGUA
rnacentral:rRNA from 1 species